ensembl:lncRNA
ACAGCAGUAGGAAUGUCAGCCUGGGGUCACUGUGAGAGGACUCUUGUCCCCUGUCCAGAAUGAAGUACCGUUAGGGAGAGGCAAGAGCAGGAAUGAAUGGAGAUCCAUUACCCACAGGAAAAGCCUGCCGGCAGGAAGGGAGCUACAGCCAUAGGUGGACUAGCAGGGACAUCUCCAGAAAACCUGGGUGCAGAACUGUCACCUUAAAACGUCUGUCACACUCAGGGCAAAGCCAGCCUUUGACAGCUCCAGACAAUUGGAAAGACAAGAUCUUUCCAAUCCCCCUUAUCUUUCCUCUCUCUCCCCACAUGAUCCUUGGAGGGACCAGAGGAGAGAUUAGCAAGCUAGUGGAGGAGCAAAUACACCAAACCCACAGGAUCCUGGCAGCAGGCCCUAGCGGGAAGAAGGGAGAAGAUAGCAAGGAACAGAUUGCACGCAAUGAAUAGGUUUAAAGGGAAACAGGAGACAAAGUUGCUUUUAGAAGAAUCCUGCUUGUUCAACGUAUUGGGCACAUUAUUAUUACUUAUCUAGCACUAACCAUGUGCUAAGCACUGUAUAUUCUCCAAAUAACUCACAGAGGCCCUAAUGAAGCCCCAUCCUGCAUUUUGCGUUUGAGUCAACACUCUCUAGAAGUGGACAUGAUGUUGGCCUACUCUGGACGGUGGCCGAGUCAGCUCUCGCCAACCUCCCACGUGCCCCAGUGCGCUUGCUAUUUCAGUCACAGUCACCAAGUGCUUCCGUCUGAACCUCUUGAGGCUACAAGGUUAACUUCUCACAGGGCUAUCAGGGCAGUAGUCUUAUCCCCAUUUGACAGAUGAAAACACGAAGUUCAGAGUGAAGAGAGAGGUUCAAAUCUUUCGUCCCCACCCCUACCUGCUUGGACGCCACGUGUCUACACAGAGUUGUGUCCCUCCAUCACGGCAAUUCCCAAUAGACUCCAAUAAACGGUUUCUUCCCUGUGUCCUCUCCACCCUAGCCUGGUCCCUGCUUCCCUCUGUUGCCUCACGUCCCUGGCGUGUCCCCUCACCCUCUCUGCACCUCUGUAUGUGGUCCCUUAAUGGAGGUCUCUUCAUCAGAACCCCGUGCGGUGGAUGGCUUUCCUCCAGGACGGGGAUGGAGCCACUUGUCCAAGAGCAUGCAGCUGAUAACAGAGUGGUGGCUCUGAGAUUCCACACUCUCCAUCUGUCCACUGUCUCUGUCAUCCUUCCCUCCCACCCCUGUUAUCCUGAGAAGCUUAUUUUUUUGAGGAUAAGACAAAGAGAGCUGCAUUGUAUCUUCGAAUGUCUCUGCGUUUCUGACAGGACGUUAGAAGGCAGGCCUUUGUGGAAUCCAGUGAGAACAUGUGCGUUUCACUUCCAAACCUCUAUUCAAGUUAACCCAACUGAAAUCAAUCACCUGAUUCCUUUUGAAAGAAUCUUGUCCAGCUGAAGAUUCAAAGAUGACCAUGGUGAGCUGUGUUAAGCUUCCCAGGGACGCCAUAACGUAAUACAUACAAUGGGCGCUUAAAAGCCAGAAGUCCAAAGUCACGGUGUCAGCAGGGCCAUGUUCCCUCUGAGGCUCUGGGUAGAAUCCUUCCUGGCCUCUUACUAGCUUCUGGUGGUGGCUGGCAAUCUUUGGUGUCCCUUGGCUCGCAGCUGCAUCACUCCAACCUCUGCCUCCAUCAUCACAUGGCCUCCUCCUCUCUGGGUCCAUGUGUCUUCUCUUCUUCUUAUAGAGCACCAGUCCUGUUGUGCCUAGGGCCCACCCCAUUCCAGUUUGACCUCAUCUUUACUAAUCAUAUCUUCAACAGCCCUAUUUCCCAACAAGGUCACUUUCUAAGGUAUUGGGUGGGGGUCAGGACUUGAACAUGUCUUUUUGGGGGACACAAUUUAACCUGUAACAGAGCUAUCACUGAAGACUGGGGAUCAACUUGGUGGGGGUCUGACUGCCGCUCGGAGACUGGUUUAGCAACAAAGAUUUAAGAAAAGAAAACAAUCCGGAGCUGCAGUAAACAUUUAAGGGCAGCAUUUUCUUUUUUUUUUUAAUGACCAUAGGAAAUGUUUACACACAUCGGCUGUCAUCAACUCAUGUUCCCAUGUGGAGUGACGAGGAUAGUGGGAUGGAGACUUAGAGAAGCGGCAGUUGGACAGAUUGUCGUGUUCACAGAACUAUUGGGACCUGCGGAUGCAUUCAGUGUGUGCACAUGUGUGUUCGUGACUGGGGGAUGAUGUAGG